rnacentral:rRNA from 1 species
CCUACGGGUGGCAGCAGUGGGGAAUAUUGCACAAUGGGGGAAACCCUGAUGCAGCGACGCCGCGUGAGUGAAGAAGUAAUUCGUUAUGUAAAGCUCUAUCAGCAGGGAAGAAAAUGACGGUACCUGAGUAAGACGACCCGGCGAACGACGUGCCAGCAGCCGCGGUAAUACGCAGCGGGCAAGCGUUAUCCGGAUUUACUGGGUGUAAAGGGAGCGUAGACGGCAGUGCAAGGCUGGAGUGAAAGGCGGGGGCUCAACCCCCGGACUGCUCUGGAAACUGGACGGCUGGAGUGCAGGAGAGGUAAGUGGAAGUCCUAGUGUAGCGGUGAAAUGCGUAGAUAUUAGGAGGAACACCCGUGGCGAAGGCGGCUUACUGGACUGUAACUGACGUUGCGGCUCGAAAGCGUGGGGAGCAAACAGGAUUAGAUACCCGGGUAGUC